rnacentral:rRNA from 1 species
GUGCUUAACACAUGCAAGUCGAAGCGAAAGGCCCUUCGGGGUACUCGAGUGGCGAACGGGUGAGUAACACGUGGGUGAUCUGCCCUGCACUUUGGGAUAAGCCUGGGAAACUGGGUCUAAUACCGGAUAGGACCACGCGCUUCAUGGUGUGUGGUGGAAAGCUUUUGCGGUGUGGGAUGGGCCCGCGGCCUAUCAGCUUGUUGGUGGGGUAAUGGCCUACCAAGGCGACGACGGGUAGCCGGCCUGAGAGGGUGACCGGCCACACUGGGACUGAGAUACGGCCCAGACUCCUACGGGAGGCAGCAGUGGGGAAUAUUGCACAAUGGGCGCAAGCCUGAUGCAGCGACGCCGCGUGAGGGAUGACGGCCUUCGGGUUGUAAACCUCUUUCAAUAGGGACGAAGCGCAAGUGACGGUACCUAUAGAAGAAGGACCGGCCAACUACGUGCCAGCAGCCGCGGUAAUACGUAGGGUCCGAGCGUUGUCCGGAAUUACUGGGCGUAAAGAGCUCGUAGGUGCUUUGUCGCGUUG